rnacentral:rRNA from 1 species
ACUCUCGGCAACGGAUAUCUCAUCUCUCGCAUCGAUGAAGAACGUAGCAAAAUGCGAUACCUGGUGUGAAUUGCAGAAUCCCGCGAACCAUCGAGUUUUUGAACGCAAGUUUCACCCGAGGCCUUCUUGCUGAGGGCACGCCUGCCUGGGCGUCACGCCAAAAGACACUCCCAACCCAUCCGUGGGGAAGGACGUGGUGUUUGGCUCCCCGUGCCGUGAGGUGCGGUGGGCCGAAGUUGGGGCUGCCGGCGUAACUUGCCGAGCGCCGCACGUGGUGCGCGACAUACAGUUGUUCUCAGUGUAGUGUCUCGUCUAGGAGUGGGCUCGUUGGCCCUAAAUGACCCAUGACGACCGUAGCGCUUUGUCGCUCAGACCGCGACCCCAGGUCAGACGGGACUACCCGCUGAGUUUAAGCAUAUAAAUAAGCGGAGGAGAAGAAACUUACAAGGAUUCCCCUAGUAACGGCGAGCGAACCGGGAACAGCCCAGCUUGAGAAUCGAGUAUCACUACUCGAAUUGUAGUCUGGAGAGGCAUCCUCGGAGACGGACCGGACCCAAGUUCUCUGGGAAGGGACGCCUGGGAGGGUGAGAGCCCUGUCCAUCCCGGACCCUGUCUCACCACGAGGCGCCGUCAAUGAGUCGGGUUGUUUGGGAAUGCAGCCCAAAUCGGGCGGUAAACUCCGUCCAAGGCUAAAUACAGGCGAGAGACCGAAAGCGAACAAGUACCGCGAGGGAAAGAUGAAAAGGACUUUGAAGAGAGAGUCAAAGAGUGCUUGAAAUUGUCGGGAGGGAAGCGGAUGGGGGCCGGCGAUGCACCCCAGUCGCAUGCGGAAAGGCUUUGGCUGGUCCCCCUAUCGGCUCGGGGUGUGGACUGUUGUCUGCUGCGCUGGCAGCCUAUGCUCGGGGACCUUAGGUGCCCCCGGCAGCCGUCGUCGGCACGACCGGUUUUUGCGCACCGCAAGGCGCGUCCCUCGGGACGCUGCGCUGCAACGGCCCGCGGGCUCCCCAUCCGACCCCUCUUGAAACACGGACCAAGGAGUCUGACAUGUGGGCGAGUCUACGGGUUCUUAAACCUGGGAUGCGCAACGAAGCUGACAAGCGGGAGGCCCUCACGGGCUGCACCGCUGGCCGACCCUGAUCUUCUGUGAAGGGUUCGAGUUGGAGCACGCCUAUCGGGACCCGAAAGAUGGUGAACUAUGCCUGAGCUGGGCGAAGCCAGAGGAAACUCUGGUGGAGGCUCGAAGCGAUACUGACAUGCAAAUCGUUCGUUUGACUUGGGUAUAGGGGCGAAAGACUAAUCGAACCAUCUAGCAGCUGGUUCCCUCCGAUGUUUCCCUUAGGAUAGCUGGAGCCCAUUACAAGUUCUAUCAGGUAAAGCCAAUGAUUAGAGGCAUCGGGGGUGCAACACCCUCGACCUAUUCUCAAACUUUAAAUAGGUAGGACGACACGAUUGCUUCGGUGAGCCAUGCCAUGGAAUCAGGAGCUCCAAGUGGGCCAUUUUUGGUAAGCAGAACUGGUGAUGUGGGAUGAACCGAUGUGGACCAGGAGCGUCCCAGUGGUCGGUGGAUGACCGCUCCUUAGUGAUGAGUGAUUGACAACGGGUGUUGGACUGACUCUUGGCUUAGUGCGCAGAUGUAGGCUGCGGCCUAGUUCGUGUUGUUGCAGGUGAAGAACGGGCGCGAAAGGUCUUCAGCCUUGAGGGGCCUCCGGGAGAUGGAGAGACAAGUAGGCUCGGUUCGAGGGACCCGGUGGACAGCGGGACUGGGUGAGGGUCACAUGGUGGCGACACAAGCAAGACGAAGUCAUGGACAAGUGAGCCGGUGCACGGUGGCGGUCAAGUCAAGUGGUUUGGCGGGAGGCCGGACCGAGCACGCGGGGUUUGGUGGUUUGCCCACAAAACCAUCGGCGGACGGUUUCUUGGUUUGGGCCUCAAAACCAAGUCCGAGGGCCCAACACGACGGAGACGGGAUCCGGGCGUGUCGGGAAGCUUCGAGGCGGAGGACACGCGGCGGGAUCGCAUGGCUUGCGUCGGGAGGACGCGGGGUGCGGCAAAGGCGUGGCCGUCCGAUGGCAAGACCCACAAACAUUACCAAAAUGCCCCUACGUGGGUUGUAUCGCCAGUAGUGUAGUUAGGGGUAGUCGAGUCAUUUACCACUCCGGCGGGACCUGAUAUAUAAGCCAUGAGUGUGUGUUGAUGGCUCUCUCUCUCUACGACUUAGGGUUUCAUUUCCCCCCUUCUCUUUCUCAUUUUCGUAGCCAUUUUUCUUCCUAUUUUCUCUAGGCUAGCAUGAGAGCUUCAUGAGAGAUUUGUUGAGAGGGAUGGAUGCUAGGGCGGCAUGCUAGACCUUGUGAAUCUUUCCUGGUUUGUAUAGAAGAUUCGGGGUUGUUUUUCGUGGCUUUUUGUGCUUAUUUUCGUGCCUUUGUUCCCGGUGUGAUUCCGCGGAUUUGAGUGAGUUUCUUCCCGGAUUUCUUUGAGGGAAACAUGGAUAGAUGUCUUGUGCAUCUUUGUGCUUGAUCUUGUGCCCUCAAACGCCGGGAAACUACUCCGAUUCGUGAGUGCUCUAGUUUUUGGUGGUGCUCAAAGGAUUCGCGAUUCCCGGUGAUUUAGGGAGUUAGGAGGCAAGAUUUUUGGGCUAUAGCAUCCCUGUGUGACGCUUUUCAAGUACCCAAACCCUUGUCUCCACAGCUUCAACCGUUUGGGAAAUCCGAUGAUGAUUUGGGGGAGUUGACUUUCGAGGUCGGGCAUUUUUCUGUUCUGUCCGAGCCUCGCGGACGGUCCGCGCCCUCCUGGCGGACGGUCCGCGCCGCUCGAGUUCGUCCCGAGUUCUUCGCGUUCUUGCUCGUCCUUUGUUUCGAUCCGUCGCGAUUUCGGUUUUUGGUUGGACGAAGUUUCGGACGGUCCGCGGUGU